CAAUUUGCUUAUUCAUUUUCUACACCAUGCAUCUUGGAAGAGGCUCACCCCUAUUUGCACAUGAUUUCGGGCAUAAGUUUCCCAGCUCUGUGGGGCCUCAACACCAUCAUCCGAUCGUGAUGGGUAGCAGCUACAGCUCUAGUAGAAGAACCAACAGCCGAAAUAAGAUUUACUGGCCGUUUUCUGGGUGGUGUUGUGGUGGCUUUGCUUUGCACCCAACUGUUUAUCGACAGUUUACGAUGCUUCCUAAUGAUAUCUCAAAGUAAGAAAGCAGUUGCUGAAGGCUCCACAUUUACCAACGUAUGUGGUAAAGAAUAGGAACCCCAAACAAAAUUUUAACGGUACAACAUUGAAGUAUCGCAGAGCUGCCUCCAAUAUUGUAUUGGGAAAAAAAAUAUUGGAAAUGAUUUAAGAGAAAAUCCAAUCUUGUACAAGGCUAGAAAAUGGGCACCAUAAUACGAGAAAAAGAAUAUAACGUGUUUUGAAUAGUCACUCACAGUUUAUUUUUCUUAAAAUAGCAAUUAACACAACGAUACAAUAUGUACAUAAAAAAUGGUACAAAAACACAAAUAGGAUGCGUCCAGAUCCACACGGAUUUCUCCAGAAUUAUCUUCAUGUUCGGGGCUUCACUACGUCUCCGGCGUGUCUCAAGUGUACAGGAUAUUCGCCAGGAGCUGCUGGAUUACGACACCAGUGAUCCGUUGCAUGCUGAUAACCUCGAUAUGAAAAUCUUAGAGAACCCUGAGCGAUGGCGAAAUAUUCAACAUUUCCAAUCGGUCCAAGGGACGAGCAGCAGAUGGUCACCCUACUACAGAAGCAUAUUCCAGAACCAACUGCACCUUAUGCUUUAUCUUGAUACAAACAGGGGCGACCCGGUGAUGGAGGCGACAACGGCGCCAGUCUUCAUACGGCAGGACCGAAGAAGAAGAACGUACAAGCCAGGUCUAGGUGGCCGUGAAAGGCUACCUUGUUGCCAGGAAGCACAUUUUUUGCGAACACAGCAAGAUCCAUUCAGAGGGUAAUCGUACACUAAAGGGCACCACUUUAUCGUAAAUGUGACGACUACACACUACUUGACGCACAAUUCAAGACCAUUCUGAGACCAACACUAGAACCGGAAUGCACUCGGAGUGGUUUGAAUGAAUGCUAGAUUGGUCAGACCGGCUGUUGGGAACAAGCGGGGCAGAUUUUUGCAUCGUCAAAUGUUGCGUGGCAAACCCGGUCGGAGGUGACGCACGAUCGCUAUUGGAAGAGUGGUACUGUGAGUCGUGCACACAUUGACCGCUUGCCGCGAUCCGUGAUGGCCCUGCUGACUGGUAGUCGAUUCCCGCAUAAUGUCUUGCUAAAUUGCUGACGAGGAUAGAAGAUCACGUUCUCACGAUUUAAAAUCACUGUCCACCACACGAAACGAUUUGUUCUACCGGCAAGCGACAAACAACGCACAGACCGCUUGACGUUUCUACCAGACGCACAAAAACACAACAAUGUUUUGUAAAUGACAGCUUUAUUCAUGUUUGUCUACAUCGAUUAUCGGUCAUCUUAUCAAUGACGGACUUUACACGGGCGUAUUUUGCAUGCGAGACUGCUCGAACGAGACGUCAAAUCAUGUUGCAACUCUUAGUUUGGAAAACAUCUCAGUUUGAAAAGGUAAUAAAAUAUUUUAAAAUUCUACGAACACAAUAAUUUCGAUAGCUCGAAAUGUGUACUGAUGUACUGUACUCCUGAAGAUGGAAUAAAAAGGAGGCGCCCGGUACUUUGCUGCUCCGUUUUACACCGUGCCAAAACAAAGUGAUCAGAUGAGAAAAUAAAAUUGCUUUAACGUUCCAGAGAAACAAAAUUAAAAGAGUGUGAGUGUGCACUGAUCGUUUUAAACAGUAUAAAAUUUCACUAAGGAACGGAGGAGCCAAUAGAAAAAAUUAGUUCAAUUUUCCUAGCGGAUAUCACAAUAGUAAGUGUGCAUCUUGGAAGCAUAUCACAGUUUGUGUAAAGUAGUACAAAAUGAAACCAUACUCACACGAUGUUAAAUUUAAAUUUAGACGGUCUACGAGUGUUUCGUGAUCGAUAGACGACCGCUUACAACCACAUUUAUACCGCUUAUAACGGUCAAUUCGAAUCUUUUGCGCAAUUGAUUCCAUACAUUUCCCACCAGAGGGCAUUACCAGCCAUAUGAUCAGCUACCUAUCAAUAUAUGCAAGGGAACGAUCCGUGCAAAUGUGCAGGCAAUAAUAUGACUCAUUUCAAACGUCCACGUCUACACACGCCCUGUGCCACAGGACCGAUAUUUGCUAACGUGUCUUGCAUCAAAAUGCAAAUCUUACAUCGCGAUCACAUUCCUCAGUACUCUGAGCCCGCCGACCGGUUUAGCAUGGCAGGCGCACCCAUCUCUACAUACCAGCAUGCAUUUCGAGGGUGGAACAUCACACACGGUUGCGCACCAACUCCACCAACUUCUCAUUUGUGGUGAUGCUACGGCUAACCAAAUCGGACAUGCAAGUGCAUCCUCAUUUAUCGAUCGAUCGAUAGGCAGCUGUAGUGGAAUAACCGGAUGCUCGGUCGGGGAAGCAAAGUUUGUGACACGAUAGACAGAUUAAGAACGCGUUCAAACUGUGGCCGUAAUAGUAAUAAGUAACUUCGUACACUAAAUCAUCACAUCACAGCAAUCAAUUUGACCAGAAGACUCGAUCAUUCUUCUCAAAGGCAUACUGGUAAAUGCUCCUGUAAUCAUAGUGACGGUGCUGGUUCGAAUUAUGUGUCGGAAAGAGUUUUUUUCUUUUAAACGUCCUGGAUUGUUGGGAUAAACGGCAGAUAGGUAAAAACAAAAAGGUGCCUUAAAAGAAACAGCGAGCGUCCCAGUAUUUAAAUUGUAAGAGUGUAGUAACCUUUUAGAAAGAAUGUUUCCAAAGCAACAGAACAGGAAGGAUCACCUUUCUUCUCAAAGAUCAAUAGGUACGUGAUACAUCCUGACGGUGGCGAAAACCGGCAGGAUACAUUAGCUGGGGCAUGCUAUGAGGAUACCGGACUCAUGCCCCGCCAAGAAGGUAUUCGGCAGCGAUCCUCAAUAGGACACGAGGCGUCGGGGAGCACAGCAAGUUCGUUGGUUGAAUCAGGUGAAGGUAGACCUGUCGUAGAUCGGGUGCCUUCACCGAUGGGAAGCUACAGCCAGGGAUCGAGUUUCCUGCCAUGUCACGACGACGUGCUCUUUAAAAGAGUAGGCCAACAUGAUGAUGAUGAGGCACGUGACGCGUGCACUACCUUAACAAAUCAGAGAGGUUUGAUUUCUUACCACCUAUGAGGACUUCUCUUCUCCUGGGUUUCGACUUUAGUUCCUUAUAAGAGCGUCUUAUGUUUGUUUCACCGGCUCUUAAAGAUAGCGAACGACAUCCCUGCUAAAUCACAUAGCCCCAUACACUUCUACUACGGUUCAUUGCACUAGCUUUCUUCUGUGUAAUGGCAUCUUUAGUGUUUCAAUUCAUCAUACGUCGUGGUGUUCGAUACUGUCGUUAUGUUCGUCGGGUGUAUUUGUGUAGCUAAAUUAGAAUCAUAGGCACUUAACGUUUAUCAUUGUUGUGAUUUGAGCAAAUAAAUAUAAAUAUACAAGCAAAACUAUAGAUCCAUUUGAAUGCAUACUUCUCAACGUUCGAAAGAUAUUCGAAUUCAUCACACUUCACACGACCUCCUUGCGAUCGUCAGCUACAACACCUCACAGGAACGCUUCAAUCUGCGGCAAUGUGCAAAAGAAAAUGGCAAACUCCUUUAAAUGGUCUGCGUUUUGACUUCUGGAUAGCCUACACGGAAAAGUUGAGGAAUCAAGUCAAUUGGCCUGUGAUGGAGUCCCGUUUAGGAUAUCCAGUAUCUUUUCUCUUUUCGUAAAGUGAUCGUAAUUAAAAAAAAAAACUUCGUUGGAUUGUCAUUCUACCACUUUGUAAAAAAAAACCACUUUGUAGAUAAAAAUACCAGGAAAAAAA